UACGUAGGGUGCGAGCGUUGUCCGGAAUUAUUGGGCGUAAAGGGCUCGUAGGCGGUCUGUCGCGUCAGGAGUGAAAACUCGGGGCUUAACCCCGAGCCUGCUUCUGAUACGGGCAGACUAGAGGUAUGCAGGGGAGAACGGAAUUCCUGGUGUAGCGGUGAAAUGCGCAGAUAUCAGGAAGAACACCGGUGGCGAAGGCGGCUC
rnacentral:rRNA from 1 species